rnacentral:rRNA from 1 species
ACUCCUACGGGAGGCAGCAGUAGGGGAAUCUUCCACAAUGGGCGCAAGCCUGACUGGAGCAACACCGCGUGAGUGAAGAAGGGUUUCGGCUCGUAAAGCUCUGUUGUUAAAGAAGAACACGUAUGAGAGUAACUGUUCAUACGUUGACGGUAUUUAACCAGAAAGUCACGGCUAACUACGUGCCAGCAGCCGCGGUAAUACGUAGGUGGCAAGCGUUAUCCGGAUUUAUUGGGCGUAAAGAGAGUGCAGGCGGUUUUCUAAGUCUGAUGUGAAAGCCUUCGGCUUAACCGGAGAAGUGCAUCGGAAACUGGAUAACUUGAGUGCAGAAGAGGGUAGUGGAACUCCAUGUGUAGCGGUGGAAUGCGUAGAUAUAUGGAAGAACACCAGUGGCGAAGGCGGCUACCUGGUCUGCAACUGACGCUGAGACUCGAAAGCAUGGGGUAGCGAACAGGAUUAGAUA